rnacentral:rRNA from 1 species
UGGGGAAUUUUGGACAAUGGGCGCAAGCCUGAUCCAGCCAUGCCGCGUGCGGGAAGAAGGCCUUCGGGUUGUAAACCGCUUUUGUCAGGGAAGAAAUCUUCUGAGUUAAUACCUCGGGAGGAUGACGGUACCUGAAGAAUAAGCACCGGCUAACUACGUGCCAGCAGCCGCGGUAAUACGUAGGGUGCAAGCGUUAAUCGGAAUUACUGGGCGUAAAGCGUGCGCAGGCGGUUUUGUAAGACAGAGGUGAAAUCCCCGGGCUCAACCUGGGAACUGCCUUUGUGACUGCAAGGCUUGAGUGCGGCAGAGGGGGAUGGAAUUCCGCGUGUAGCAGUGAAAUGCGUAGAUAUGCGGAGGAACACCGAUGGCGAAGGCAAUCCCCUGGGCCUGCACUGACGCUCAUGCACGAAAAGCGUGGGGAGCAAAACAGGAUUAGAUACCCUGGUAGUCCACGCCCUAAACGAUGUCAACUGGUUGUUGGGAAGGUUCCUUCUCAGUAACGUAGCUAACGCGUGAAGUUGACCGCCUGGGGAGUACGGCCGCAAGGUUG